GUGGGGAAUAUUGGACAAUGGGCGCAAGCCCGAUCCAGCAAUGCCGCGUGUGUGAAGAAGGUCUUCGGAUCGUAAAGCACUUUCGACGGGGACGAUGAUGACGGUACCCGUAGAAGAAGCCCCGGCUAACUUCGUGCCAGCAGCCGCGGUAAUACGAAGGGGGCUAGCGUUGCUCGGACUUACUGGGCGUCAAGGGCGCGUAGGCGGCUCUGUGAGUCAGGCGUGAAAUUCCUGGGCUUAACCUGGGGACUGCGCUUGCUACUGCAGGGCUUGAGGGCGAGAGAGGGUGGUGGAAUGCCCAGUGUAGAGGUGAACUGCGUAGAUAGUGGGAAGGACGCCGGUGGCGGAGGCGACCACCUGGCUCGGUACUGACGCUGAGGCGCGACAGCGUGGGGAGCAAACAGGAUUAGAAACCCUUGUAGUCC
rnacentral:rRNA from 1 species